ACGCGCCAGCAGCCGCGGUAAUACGUAGGGGGCGAGCGUUAUCCGGAUUCAUUGGGCGUAAAGCGCGCGUAGGCGGCCCGGCAGGCCGGGGGUCGAAGCGGGGGGCUCAACCCCCCGAAGCCCCCGGAACCUCCGCGGCUUGGGUCCGGUAGAGGAGGGUGGAACACCCGGUGUAGCGGUGGAAUGCGCAGAUAUCGGGUGGAACACCGGUGGCGAAGGCGGCCCUCUGGGCCGAGACCGACGCUGAGGCGCGAAAGCUGGGGGAGCGAACAGGAUUAGAUACCCUGGUAGUCCCAGCCGUAAACGAUGGACGCUAGGUGUGGGGGGACGAUCCCCCCGUGCCGCAGCCAACGCAUUAAGCGUCCCGCCUGGGGAGUACGGCCGCAAGGCUAAAACUCAAAGGAAUUGACGGGGGCCCGCACAAGCAGCGGAGCAUGUGGCUUAAUUCGAAGCAACGCGAAGAACCUUACCAGGGCUUGACAUAUGGGUGAAGCGGGGGAGACCCCGUGGCCGAGAGGAGCCCAUACAGGUGGUGCAUGGCUGUCGUCAGCUCGUGUCGUGAGAUGUUGGGUUAAGUCCCGCAACGAGCGCAACCCCCGCCGCGUGUUGCCAUCGGGUGAUGCCGGGAACCCACGCGGGACCGCCGCCGUCAAGGCGGAGGAGGGCGGGGACGACGUCAAGUCAUCAUGCCCCUUAUGCCCUGGGCUGCACACGUGCUACAAUGGCCGGUACAGAGGGAUGCCACCCCGCGAGGGGGAGCGGAUCCCGGAAAGCCGGCCCCAGUUCGGAUUGGGGGCUGCAACCCGCCCCCAUGAAGUUGGAGUUGCUAGUAAUCGCGGAUCAGCAUGCCGCGGUGAAUGCGUUCCCGGGCCUUGCACA
rnacentral:rRNA from 1 species